CGAACGCUGGCGGCGUGCUUACCACAUGCAAGUCGACCGGCAAGGCCCCUUUGGGGGUACUCGAGUGGCGAACGGGUGAGUAACACGUGAGUAACCUGCCCUUGACUUCGGGAUAACUUCAGGAAACUGGGGCUAAUACCGGAUAGGAAUCCUUGCUGCAUGGUGGGGGUUGGAAAGCUUCGGCGGUUUUGGAUGGACUCGCGGCUUAUCAGCUUGUUGGUGGGGUAGUGGCUUACCAAGGCUUUGACGGGUAGCCGGCCUGAGAGGGCGACCGGCCACAUUGGGACUGAGAUACGGCCCAGACUCCUACGGGAGGCAGCAGUGGGGAAUAUUGCACAAUGGGCGGAAGCCUGAUGCAGCAACGCCGCGUGCGGGAUGACGGCCUUCGGGUUGUAAACCGCUUUCAGCAGGGGCGAAGCUUGUGGUGACGGUACCUGCAGAAGAAGCACCGGCUAACUACGUG
rnacentral:rRNA from 1 species